UUAACUCAAAUUUAUAUGUAGUUGGAACGUUUGCCUACGUUUGCCGCUAGGGGCGCUGUACAUACAAAUUUGAGUUA
rnacentral:pre_miRNA from 1 species